AUUGAACGCUGGCGGCAGGCUUAACACAUGCAAGUCGAGCGGAGAUGAGGUGCUUGCACCUUAUCUUAGCGGCGGACGGGUGAGUAAUGCUUAGGAAUCUACCUAUUAGUGGGGGACAACAUUCCGAAAGGAAUGCUAAUACCGCAUACGCCCUACGGGGGAAAGCAGGGGAUCUUCGGACCUUGCGCUAAUAGAUGAGCCUAAGUCGGAUUAGCUAGUUGGUGGGGUAAAGGCCUACCAAGGCGACGAUCUGUAGCGGGUCUGAGAGGAUGAUCCGCCACACUGGAACUGAGACACGGCCCAGACUCCUACGGGAGGCAGCAGUGGGGAAUAUUGGACAAUGGGCGGAAGCCUGAUCCAGCCAUGCCGCGUGUGUGAAGAAGGCCUUUUGGUUGUAAAGCACUUUAAGCGAGGAGGAGGCUACCUGGAUUAAUACUCUAGGAUAGUGGACGUUACUCGCAGAAUAAGCACCGGCUAACUCUGUGCCAGCAGCCGCCGUAACAC
rnacentral:rRNA from 1 species